AUGGCCCUGAAUCAAAGCUGGCAGCUUCCUGACACUGUUGGUUUCAAGCAGGUCUUUCUAUGGUCUAUUAGCCAUUUUAGAACUUGAGUAGUGAAAUGGUCAAUUCAUUAGAAAGAAACAGCU
ensembl:snoRNA